rnacentral:misc_RNA from 1 species
GAUGAAGAACGCAGCGAAAUGCGAUACGUAAUGUGAAUUGCAGAAUUCAGUGAAUCAUCGAAUCUUUGAACGCAUAUUGCGCUCUCUGGUAUUCCGGAGAGCAUGCUUGUUUGAGUAUCAGUAAACACCUCAACUCCCUUUUCUUUUUUGAAAUUGGAGCUGGACUUGAGUGAUCCCAACGCUUUCUUCCAAGAAAGUGGCGGGUUGCUUGAAAUGCAGGUGCAGCUGAACUUUUCUCUGAGCUAUAAGCAUAUCUAUUUAGUCUGCCUAAAAAACAGAUUAUUACCUUUGCUGCAGCUAACAUAAAGGAGACUAGUUCUUGUGCUGACUGAUGCAGGAUUCACAGAGACAGCUUCGGCUGACUUUGUAAACUCGAUCUCAAAUCAAGUAAGACUACCCGCUGAACUUAAGCAUAUCAAUAAGCGGAGGAA